rnacentral:rRNA from 1 species
UUCCGUAGGGUGAACCUGCGGAGGGAUCAUUACCGAGUUUACAACUCCCAAACCCAAUGUGAACGUUACCAAACUGUUGCCUCGGCGGGAUCUCUGCCCCGGGUGCGUCGCAGCCCCGGACCAAGGCGCCCGCCGGAGGACCAACCAAAACUCUUUUUGUAUACCCCCUCGCGGGUUUUUUAUAAUCUGAGCCUUCUCGGCGCCUCUCGUAGGCGUUUCGAAAAUGAAUCAAAACUUUCAACAACGGAUCUCUUGGUUCUGGCAUCGAUGAAGAACGCAGCGAAAUGCGAUAAGUAAUGUGAAUUGCAGAAUUCAGUGAAUCAUCGAAUCUUUGAACGCACAUUGCGCCCGCCAGUAUUCUGGCGGGCAUGCCUGUCCGAGCGUCAUUUCAACCCUCGAACCCCUCCGGGGGGUCGGCGUUGGGGAUCGGCCCUGCCUCUUGGCGGUGGCCGUCUCCGAAAUACAGUGGCGGUCUCGCCGCAGCCUCUCCUGCGCAGUAGUUUGCACACUCGCAUCGGGAGCGCGGCGCGUCCACAGCCGUUAAACACCCAACUUCUGAAAUGUUGACCUCGGAUCAGGUAGGAAUACCCGCUGAACUUAAGCAUAUCAAUAAGCGGAGGAA